rnacentral:tRNA from 1 species
UGAGGCCUUAGCUUAAUUAAAGCGGUUGAAUUGCAAUUAACAGAUGUAAAUAAGAGUUUUGCAGGUCU